CAGCCGCCGCGGUAAUACGUAGGGCGCAAGCGUUAUCCGGAAUUAUUGGGCGUAAAGAGCUCGUAGGCGGUUUGUCGCGUCUGCCGUGAAAGUCCGGGGCUCAACCCCGGAUCUGCGGUGGGUACGGGCAGACUAGAGUGAUGUAGGGGAGACUGGAAUUCCUGGUGUAGCGGUGAAAUGCGCAGAUAUCAGGAGGAACACCGAUGGCGAAGGCAGGUCUCUGGGCAUUAACUGACGCUGAGGAGCGAAAGCAUGGGGAGCGAACAGGAUUAGAGACCCCGGUAGCCUGUCUCUUAUACAC
rnacentral:rRNA from 1 species